AUAUUGGAAGGCUAGAAAAUGAUCACAAGAAAGCUAGACUUUUAGCUGAUGGAUUGGGGGAACUUAAAGGACUGAGAGUGGACACCCUUGCUGGGGAGACCAAUAUAGUAUUCAUUGACAUUGAAGAUGGUAU